AACAAACGCUGACGGCGUGCCUAACACAUGCAAGCCGUACGAGAAAGGGUCCUUCGGGGCCUGAGUAAAGUGGCGCACGGGUGAGUAACGCGUGGAUAAUCUGCCCUUCAGUUGGGAAUAACUCGUCGAAAGGUGGGCUAAUACCGAAUAAUGCUGUGAGACCUCGGUUGAUCAGCCAAAGAGAGCCUCUGCUUGCAAGCCCUCGCUGAAGGAUGAGUCCGCGUACCAUUAGCUAGUUGGUAGGGUAAUGGCCUACCAAGGCGACGAUGGUUAGCUGGUCUGAGAGGAUGAUCAGCCACACUGGAACUGAGACACGGUCCAGACUCCUACGGGAGGCAGCAGUGAGGAAUCUUGCGCAAUGGGGGCAACCCUGACGCAGCAACGCCGCGUGAGUGAGGAAGGUCUUCGGAUCGUAAAGCUCUGUCGGAUGGAAAGAACCGCAUAGGGGUAAACAGCCCCUGUGUCUGACGGUACCAUCAAAGGAAGCACCGGCUAACUCCGUGCCAGCCGCCGCCGUAAAAC
rnacentral:rRNA from 1 species